GACGAAGGGGGCGAGCGUUGUUCGGAAUCACUGGGCGUAAAGGGCGCGUAGGCGGUUCGACAAGUUGGAUGUGAAAGCCCAGGGCUCAACCCUGGAAUUGCAUUCAAGACUGUCUUACUUGAAUUCGGUAGAGGUGAGUGGAAUUCCCAGUGUAGAGGUGAAAUUCGUAGAGAUUGGGAAGAACACCGGUGGCGAAGGCGGCUCACUGGACCGACAUUGACGCUGAGGCGCGAAAGCGUGGGGAGCAAACAGG
rnacentral:rRNA from 1 species